rnacentral:rRNA from 1 species
GAGUUUGAUCCUGGCUCAGAACGAACGCUGGCGGCGUGCUUAACACAUGCAAGUCGAACGAGAAACCUUGUACCAAUACGAGGCGGUAAAGUGGCGCACGGGUGAGUAAUACAUGGGUAACCUACCUUCGAGAUUGGGAUAACCUUCCGAAAGGAAGGCUAAUACCGGAUGAAAAAGGGGUGGACCAAAGCUCAUUCACCUUUUAAAGAUGGCCUAUGCUUGCAAGCUAUCGCUCAAAAAGGGGCUCAUGCCCCAUUAGCUUGUUGGUAGGGUAAAGGCCUACCAAGGCAAUGAUGGGUAACUGGUCUGAGAGGACGGCCAGCCACACUGGCACUGACAUACGGGACACACUCCUACGGGAGGCAGCAGUGAGGAAUUUUGCGGAAUGGAGCGACAGCCUGACCCACCAACGCCGCGUGAGGGAUGAAGGCCUUCCGGUCGUAAACCUCUUUCGUUUGGAAAGAAGUCUUUUAAGAUGAAUAAUCCUAUGAGAUUGACGGCACCGAAAGAAGAAGCCACGGCUAACUCUGUGCCAGCAGCCGCAGUAAGACAGAGGUGGCAAGCGUUAUUCGCAUUUACUGGACGUAACGAGCGUGUAUGCGGUUAGAUAAGUCAGUUGUGAUAUCCUAUGGCUUAACCAUAGAAUUGCAUCUGAUACUGUCUAGCUAGAGUGCAAGAGAGGAGAGUGGAAUUUCCAGUGUAGCGGUGAAAUGCGUAGAUAUUGGAAGGAACACCGGUGGCGAAGGCGGCUCUCUGGUCUGUAACUGACGCUGAGACGCGAAAGCGUGGGUAGCAAACAGGAUUAGAUACCCUGGUAGUCCACGCCCUAAACGAUGGGCACUAAGUGCCGGAGGUAUCGACCCCUUCGGUGCCGCACCUAACGGAAUAAGUGCCCCGCCUGGGGAGUACGGCCGCAAGGUUGAAACUCAAAGGAAUUGACGGGGGCCCGCACAAGCGGUGGAGCAUGUGGUUUAAUUCGACGCAACGCGAAGAACCUUACCAGGGCUUGACAUGCUGGUGGUAGAGAACGGAAAGGGGAUCCACCCCGCAAGGGGAGCCAGCACAAGUGCUGCAUGGCUGUCGUCAGCUCGUGCCGUGAGGUGUUGGGUUAAGUCCCGCAACGAGCGCAACCCUUACCCUUUGUUGCCAACAGGUUAUGCUGGGAACUCUAAGGGAACUGCCCCGGUUAACGGGGAGGAAGGUGAGGACGACGUCAAGUCAUCAUGGCCUUUAUGUCGUGGGCUACACACGUGAUACAAGGAAGCCGACAGCGAGUUGCAAAUCCGUAAGGUCUAGAUAAUCUCUUAAACGGCUUCUCAGUUGGGAGUGAGGUGUGCAAUUCGUCCUCAUGAAGGUGGAAUCGCUAGUAAUCGUGGAUCAGAAUGCCACGGUGAAUACGUUCCCGGGCCUUGUACACACCGCCCGUCACACCACGAAAGCCCAUCGUACCAGAAGUCGGUGUGCUAACCCGCAAGGGAGGCAGCUGUCCACGGUAUGGUUGGUGAUUGGGGUGAAGUCGUAA